UCUCCCUUUGUGUGCUUGUUGAAUUGUCCGUGCUUAUCUCUGUCUAUUUUCUGUACAUCUGAAUUGCGGUAGGUGUUGAUAGAAAUUGACAUUUCACCCUGUUGCCAGUCUCUUCCAAUCAAUGAAAUGUCACAGCCGUCUUUCAUGUGCUCUGUUUUCUUUCCCCCAGGCCUCCCUUUUUUUGUUACCCCAUUCUUGCGAACUCAAUAUCUGAGGACGGCCUUCAAUGACUUUCUUCAAAUUUUGGCACAAACAUAAACUUCAAGGUUGAACCGGUUACAUUUUGGUGGUCAAAUGGCACUUUGACAUCACAAAGCAAGAGGAGGAUCUUUUCCGGCCGCCCUCUCCUCCUCCCGCAUCGUCCACUACUCGGAGCACCAGUGCAGCCAGCUGGGCGACGAAAACAAAGGUCUUUCAGCAGACCAGCCAAGCAGCAGAAGACAGGACAACAGCAGUGGAACAACAACAACAACAAUAUAAAUCAAUGAAGUCUCCUGACCUCAUCUGAUUAUUCACUGCUGAAGUACACUGCAGCUAUUCUCUACCAUUUAUGCUCAACUCUCACGAAAUCCGUCGAUGACAAUAGGUUUCCUGAGGCGGCGCGCGUCCUCCUGACCUGGCUGGAACGAGGUGAAGUCAACCGCGCGAACGCCAACAACUUGUACUCCGUGAUCCGAUCGUCUCAACGGCCACAUCCGCAGGCCGACGGGCGAGAAGAGAGGUGGAGGAGGCCAAAGAGAAGUUCACUUUCCUAUUUCUCUAAUAGCUUCCCAAGCGGAGGCCUUAAAAGAGGAGAACGGCUCUCUCUCCACUGCCAGCUGGACGCCUACAGGAACGGGGUGGAGCUCCUCAGUUCCUGUUCUCCUCAGAACAGGAACAAGGCAAGAAGCACCCAAUGAGCAGCGAGGAGGACACCACACACUCAGAGCAGCUCAGCUUCCUGCAGCAGGCCCUGCAUGCAGAAGGGAUGCGCGUUCACCCGUUUGGAGCCAGCAUCGAAUAUGUCUGUUCCUACCUGCAGCAUUUGGACAACAAGGUAACUCUCCAUCACACACACACACACACACACACAGAUAAGGGUUUCAUAGACAUAGUGACGCAGAUUCAAUUUCCCUGCACACAGAAAAAAAAAGGUUCUUAAAUGGUUAUUUAGGAGGCAGUGUGGUUCUACAAAGAACCAUCACCUACUUAAGAACCAUUUUAUCUAUUAAAUGGUUUUACACGCUUUUCAUAUGGUUCUUAGGGAUAUUAAAUGGUUCUUUGAGAUAUUAAAGGGUUCUUAAUUCAUGUUCACAUUUGCCUUCCUCAUUUAAAAACAGCUAAUAUUAAUAUAUUUGGAAAAAUACAGGUAAUUCUACUUUGGUACAGCCUCUCACUCUAACAGUAGCUGUUUUCCAGAAAAUUCAAAGGGGGAAAGUUAUGAAGGAAAACAUAAACCAAUCACGACCGUGAGAUAUCCGUCCGUCCCGCCUACUCCCUUCUUGACUGACCAACUUUUCACACCAGUAACCCCCAACUAAGAUAUUGGUUAUUACAGAAAAGUAUUGCUCUUGUUUUGUGUCACAGUCAUCUUAUCCGAAUGUCUGAAUAAGCUAACAUUAGUAUACAUACAAUAUUGGGGCCUGUAGCUUGGCUGGAAGCUCCAGAUUUCCCUAGUUUUUGGGUGCCGCAUAGAAUGUUAAUGUUUUAACAAUCGUCAGGUUUUUAAAACUGUUAAUUUUGGAUUUCGGAUUUUUUUCCAAUGGUACCUUGAGUGUUAGCUAGCUAACAUUAGUUAACUAAUGUUAAUAUCCUUUGUUGCACUAAUGUUUACUAAAAACUUAACAGAGCUGCUAUGCUACUGCCUGUGGGAUUUAUUUAAGAUAUCAAUAGCUGAUUAACUAACAAGGGGUUAUGCUGCUGCAAUCUAGAUGUAAACUAUCAACUAUUCUUUAUUAAAUUUUUUUUACCAAUUUAAAAAACGAUGCCCUUGUUACAUGCGCCAUUAACUCAAUGCAAUGUUAUGUUAAUGUUAGCUAACUCCACACGAUUAAAAAUGCCACUAUUUUGUGCUUGCUUGUCUUGUUUGUAGCUGUAGCUUGCAAGGUCAGAAAGCUACACAUUAUUUAAUGUAGUGACACAAACAGGCUUUCAUUUACGCUUUUUGACCAACUGUGGAAGAUGAAACGGGACACUGUUUGAAAUGUUUCUCAAGAGACAGCGCAGUAACUUUCUCAGCAGUGACGUGUUACAGCAGACAACAAUAGUAAUGGAUUUUAUGUUUUUUUAAGAUAGCUGUAGACAUUUUCGGAUAAUAGUCUACUUCUAUUACACAGAAUCUGUUAAUACAAAGUUCAAAUGAACACAUGUGUGGCUACUGUCAACUGUAUCUCUGUCUGAGUGUUUAUGAUGAUAGAAAGUAAAAUUACGUUUAUUAAUUGUGCUUUUCUUUUACUCAAGCAUAUUGAUUGAGGAAAUGACCAAUCGAUGGAGAGUUGGCAAGGUCUCUCUUUGACUGGAACAGAAUGGUCUUAAAGAAUAUGUCUGACUGAGAAAGUGACAUACAGUGACUGUAUUGGUAUAGGCUCAAUCAUGCACGGUUUGAUAUAUAAGAGGCCAGACAUGUCAAGAAUAGUUCAAGAUUUUGGGAAAUAUGUUUAUUGCAGUCAGAUUAGAAGAUUGCCACAACUUAUUGUUUUUGCGCUGAAUAAACAAAGUAGCGUGAGGAUGUUACUUGAUGAGGUUUAAAAGUAUUCAGGUUUGCUCAAGCUUCAUAUUUAGCUUACCAACGUGAGUGAUAUGCAUCUCGCACGCUUCUCAUCGAACGUGCUACAAUAAAAAACUUUAUAGCAUUUUCCAGAAUAUCUGUUUUGCACGUGUUUGGCACAUGGUGAUGUUGUGUUUUAGAUUCUGUCUGUGGCUGUUUGACUGUCGUAUCUGUUGUUUCCACACUGACUGCACAUCAAGCAGCCCACAGCGCUUUGUCAAUACCUCCUGCUGAACUGCCCAUCAACAAGCCCAAUCCUCCCUGCUUAUCUACCGGCACCACACACGGCUCCAUUGUCUGUAAUGAUACAGCGGUUUCGUUUCCAUGAUGGGCCUUAAUGCAUCCUUACAUCAGCACUGGGUUUGAAUAACCUAGUUAUUAAUGAAAGACAAGACAGGGCUCCCUACGGCAGCUUCUACAGUGGAUUUCUGUUUCUACUGUCACCUUGCUGCUUACUCUCAGCCCACGCGAGUGGCGUGAGGGCUCUAAUGUGGCUCAUAUUGUCUUCACACUUGCUCUUUUGAUCUGAGUUAAGUGGAAGUGUGAGAACCGAGUGUAAGCAUACCGAAAAUGAAGAGCAGAGGUGUAAGACGAUGUGCGAGAUUGUCUCUGUUCAUUUGUGUGCAAAAGUAGUUAUGGGUGACGAAUAUCUACGUGCAACACCAGCGAGGUUGAGGCUCUUCUCGCUCGGCUGCUUUGCACCCACGGACAGGAGAUAACCGGCAUCAGCGCCAGUCUUGAGAAACGCUGGAAGUUCUGCGGCAUCAAAGGCAUGACUCUUGCCGCUGACGGGUCUUCUGGGAGAUGGAAGAGACAAGACGGGUACACAAGUCUGCACAGGUACACGGAGGACACUCCAGAAAUGAAGGAUGCCCCCAGCUAAUGGAGAUGCUGGGCUGCACCUGCAAAGACAAGAGCACAAACGAUACACCACGGAUCUCCGAUCAGGAACGGUUGUUGCCUGUGGGUCUUUUGUGAUGGCAAAUUAUUUUGCGGCAUUUCUCUAUAGCAAGAAGUGGGUGUAUCUCAUACCGUGUCAUAGCGCACUCUCUCUUGUUCACUAAAGGUAAGAAAGUCCUAAUCUCACAGGACUGGUUUGAUUUUUAUACCCAUGCCCACAGUGGACUCACUGGCAGACCAGAAUACGUGCUCUACAUUGGAGGUCAUCAGGGUCCACUUGUAGGCCACCGUUUGAGUGAGUACAAUCACUUGAAAAAAACAGAUGCAGUGUUCAGGUUUGAAUUUCGGUUGUUUAGAAAUAUCCGUGUUAAAUUACACUCCGAUGUAGUUCUCAAAAGGACAAUGAGACUAAUCAGCAAAACGGGUAAUCAAGAAUGUUAUGAU